GAUGAACGCUAGCUACAGGCUUAACACAUGCAAGUCGAGGGGAAACGGCGUUGAGUGCUUGCACUCUUCGGACGUCGAUCGGCGCACGGGUGAGUAACGCGUAUCCAACCUUCCCAUGACCGGGGGAUAACCUGCCGAAAGGCAGACUAAUACCCCAUGGUCUUCACUGACGGCAUCAUAUGUGAAGUAAAGAUUCAUCGGUCAUGGAUGGGGAUGCGUCUGAUUAGCUUGUUGGCGGGGUAACGGCCCACCAAGGCUACGAUCAGUAGGGGUUCUGAGAGGAAGGUCCCCCACAUUGGAACUGAGACACGGUCCAAACUCCUACGGGAGGCAGCAGUGAGGAAUAUUGGUCAAUGGGCGCAAGCCUGAACCAGCCAAGUAGCGUGCAGGAUGACGGCCCUAUGGGUUGUAAACUGCUUUUGUACGGGGAUAAAACGGCGGACGUGUCCGUCCUUGCAGGUACCGUACGAAUAAGGACCGGCUAAUUCCGUGCCAGCAGCCGCGGUAAUACGGAAGGUCCGGGCGUUAUCCGGAUUUAUUGGGUUUAAAGGGAGCGUAGGCCGGGGAUUAAGUGUGUUGUGAAGAUGUAGACGCUCAACGUCUGACUUGCAGCGCAUACUGGUUCCCUUGAGUACGCACAACGUCGGCGGAAUUCGUCGUGUAGCGGUGAAAUGCUUAGAUAUGACGAAGAACUCCGAUUGCGAAGGCAGCUGACGGGGGCGCAACUGACGCUUAAGCUCGAAGGUGCGGGUAUCGAACAGGAUUAGAUACCCUGGUAGUCCGCACGGUAGACGAUGGAUGCCCGCUGUUGGUACCUGGUAUCAGCGGCUAAGCGACAGCAUAAAGCAUCCCACCUGGGGAGUACGCCUGCAACGGUGACACUCAAACGAAUUGACGGGGGCCCGCACAAGCGGAGGAGCAUGUGGUUUACUCCUAUGAUACGCGAGGAACCUUACCCGGGGCUUGAAAUUGCAGGGAGACGAAUACAGAGAAUGAUAGAUGGGUCCGUUCGGGCAACCUCCCUGUUG
rnacentral:rRNA from 1 species